GGGCAACAGAGCAAGACUCUCAAAAAAAAAAAAAAAAAGUCAGGUCUCUGUUUACUCUCAGAGUUGGAGAUAUCAGCUCGGCUCCUGUUAUGGACUAAAUUGUAUCCCUUGUUCAUAAAUUGAAGCCCUAACCUCCUAUCCCCCAUGACUCUAUUUGGAGAUGAUGGAGUCCUAAUCCUCCAGGACUGGCAUUCUUGUAAAAGAGGAAGAUGCACCUGGGAUGCACAUGCACAGGGAAAAGGCCGAACGAGGACACAGCUGGAAGGAGACUGUGUGCAGGUCAUGGAGGGGGCCUCAGGAGAAGCCAAACCUGGCUUCAUCUUGGAUUUUCAGCCUCCGGAAGUGUGAGAAAACAAAUUUCUGUUGUUAAAGCCACCUAGACCAUGGCAUUUUGUUAUGGCAGUUCCAGCUGACUAAUGUAGCUCCUGACCUGAGAGUGGAAUGGGAGCCUCUGGUGUCUAGGCUUCUCUGCCUGAACAGAAGACUUUCUGACCUCCUGGAGCGGGUGCUCAGCUCCGUUCAGCUGUUCCUCUGAGGCAGGAGAGGAGAUUCUCCUCUGGGCUAGUUUCGUUGGGAAGACUAGAGAAAAAGGGCUCUUCCAGAUGGAAUUUGUGACACCCCCAGCACUGCUGAUUAUUCUUGGUGGGACAUGUCUGAAUUCUAAAACUUGACCUUCAGGUACCGCAUUCUUGCCUGUUCACUUCCUCCUAGUAACUAUACCCAGUAUUGUCUAUGGCUAUUCCUGCCUUUCCACAUUCUCUUAUUUUUUUGGAGAUGGGGUCUCACUAUGUUGGCCAGGCUGGUCUCAAACUCCUAGGCUCAAGGCGAUCCUCCCACCUUGGCCUCCCAAAGUGCUGAGAUUACAGACGUGGGUCAUCACACCCGGCCCACAUUUUCUCCUGUAUCCCAAACUUCCUUGUCAGCUGGGUUCCUUGCGAGGUAGGUUCUGCUAGUGGAAGGCACUUACAUGAAGUUGGUUGGAAGGUGGGAGGGAGAGGCCAUUUUUUUUCUGUGUAUGACAUUUAUCAGUAGGUUUGUAGGCAAUCAUGGGCCCUGCAACAGUAGGGUACUGGGGCGAGGGCAGCAGGGGUGGCUCUGGGUAAGUAAGGGCCCCAGUGGCUCUGGUGGCUGUUUCAAUAGCACGAACAGGUGGACUCUUGGCUGCCUGCCCAAUGGGAAAGGCAGUGAUUGUCGUGGGAGUGGCAGCAUCAGCAACACUACAGAUACAUUUGUUGUAAGCUCAUGCACUCUGGGUAAAAACUAGUCUCUCCUUUUUGUCCCUCCAGCCCAGUGGGGGUUCCAGAAGCUUCCUACAAUCAUUGGUUUUUUAAUAGCAUCACUUUCCCCCAGGGUCACGGAGAAAAGCUGUGAACAUCACAAAAAUGGUCUGAAUAUAGAAGACCUUGAAUGCCAGAAGAAAUACCAUGUGAGGAAAUAGUGAGAAGGUGGCCAUCUGCAAGCCAGGAAGGGAGCCUUCACCAGAAACCGAACACUGCUGGAACCUUGAACCAGUAGAAAAUAAAUGUCUAUUGUUUAAGCCUA